rnacentral:rRNA from 1 species
AUACCAGACUCCUACGGGAGGCAGCAGUGGGGGAUAUUGCACAAUGGGGGGAACCCUGAUGCAGCGACGCCGCGUGGGUGAAGGAGUAUUUCGGUAUGUAAAGCCCUAUCGGCAGGGAAGAAGCAAGACGGUACCUGACUAAGAAGCCCCGGCUAACUACGUGCCAGCAGCCGCGGUAAUACGUAGGGGGCGAGCGUUAUCCGGAUUCACUGGGUGUAAAGGGAGCGUAGACGGCCAUGCAAGCCAGGGGUGAAAGCCCGGGACCCAACCCCGGGACUGCCCUUGGAACUGCAUGGCUGGAGUGCGGGAGGGGCAGGCGGAAUUCCUAGUGUAGCGGUGAAAUGCGUAGAUAUUAGGAGGAACACCAGUGGCGAAGGCGGCCUACUGGACGGUGACUGACGCUGAGGCUCGAAAGCGUGGGGAGCAAACAGGAUUAGAUACCCCUGUA